UAAGAGCCUCACUAUGGCCAUUCGGUGGAGGAUGGUCACAGGGGCAGAAGAUUCACUAGACAUAGCUGCAUAUCCUGGGCCAACACUUAGUGUGUGAGUGGAUUCCUUCUUUGAGCUUCUUUGUUCAUCCGGGAUGUAGGGAUUUACAGCACAUCCAAAGGAUUGCUGUAAGGAGUAAAUUAAACAACAGAAUGAAAGCUCUUAGAGCAGUGCAUGCUUCCUAGCAGACACAAAAUAAAAUGUUUGAUUUUGGUGUCAGACAUUUUACACGGGAGGAGGAAAAAGCUUUCCACUUUCUCAUCUUUAUGCCCCAUCCCACGAGCCCAGUGCUGUCUCCCCCCUGGGAGCAGGCAAAGGGCAAUGCAUGGGCUCUUGGACCUAGACAGUGUCAUUCUGGCUCUGUGCUAACCCACUCUUCUCACACCUAUGCCUCACAGUUGACCCCUGUUCAGCUGUCGGAGCCCUGACCUUCUCCUGCAGUGCUGGCCGUCUCCAAAGCCAGCAGCACGACCCCAAGGCUGGGGAGCGGGUAAGGAGCGCGUCUGAUGUCACUAAGCCUUUUCUUUAUCCACUGGCUGUCAUCAGAGAGCUGCUGUUUUCCUCCAUGACCUUUGCUGCAUUUCAAACCCUUCGCUUUACAUUAUAUUUUGCCAUGCUUCAGUCUUAUCUCCUCUAAUAGUCUAUGCACUUCCCGAAGGCACAAACGGCACAGUAAAUAUGUCGGGAGUACCCGCCUCUCCCUGGCACUGCCUGUGCUUGUGGAAUGAACUGAAGGAAGAGCUGACUGAUGCUCACACAGUGCUGAAAGCCUGCCAAGCUGUGAAUAAGUGUGCGGUGAAGUGCUGCCACCUGCUGGCUGAGAGCCGCAGCAGCUCCACCUACCAGUGCAGGAUUUUCUUCUUGAAGCUACCUCCGCUGCUAAAUUUCGUUUCUGUGCGCUGUCCUCUGCAUUCAGGGCAAGAGGAUGAUCUUGCAAGCUUGUUUCUGGUAAGUGCCUACCCAUAGCGAUCUGUGUAGUAAACCA
rnacentral:lncRNA from 1 species